rnacentral:rRNA from 1 species
UACGUAGGGGGCAAGCGUUAUCCGGAUUUACUGGGUGUAAAGGGAGCGCAGGCGGAAGGCCAAGUCUGAUGUGAAAACCCGGAGCUCAACUGCGGGAUUGCAUUGGAAACUGGUCAUCUUGAGUCUCGGAGGGGCAAGCGGAAUUCCUAGUGUAGCGGUGAAAUGCGUAGAUAUUAGGAGGAACACCGGUGGCGAAGGCGGCUUGCUGGACGAUGACUGACGCUGAGGCUCGAAAGCGUGGGGAGCAAAC